GAUGAACGCUGGCUACAGGCUUAACACAUGCAAGUCGAGGGGAAACGACGGGGAAGCUUGCUUCCCCGGGCGUCGACCGGCGCACGGGUGAGUAACGCGUAUCCAACCUGCCUCUGACUGAGGGAUAACCCGUCGAAAGUCGGCCUAAUACCUCAUGGCUUCUUCUGCGGGCAUCCAACGACGAUUAAAGAUUUCAUCGGUCAGGGAUGGGGAUGCGUCUGAUUAGCUUGUUGGCGGGGUAACGGCCCACCAAGGCUACGAUCAGUAGGGGUUCUGAGAGGCAGGUACCCAACAUUGGAACUGAGACACGGACCAAACUCCUACGGGAGGCAGCAGUGAGGAAUAUUGGUCAAUGGGCGGGAGCCUGAAACAGCCAAGUAGCGUGCAGGAUGACGGGCCUAUGGGUUGUAAACUGCUUUUAUGCGGGGAUAAAGUGAGGGACGUGUCCUUCAUUGAAGGUACCGAAUGAAUAAGGACCGGCUAAUUACGUG
rnacentral:rRNA from 1 species